CCAUUUUAAAGCUGAAAGAAGAACGACAAAGACCUUUGGCCUGUAAGCCUCAGUCAUGAGCGGCGUACCAAAUAAAAGCAAAUUUCAGUUAUCUAGUGACCUGAGGGCUUUAGGUCAUCAACCGGAUCCAUUUCUUAUUCUGGUGCAUCGAGAUGCUCCUUACGAUCUGCCCCUGACUAUUCUAGAUGACAACAAAAGGCAGCUCAAGUUGCUGACUGAAGAGCGGUUUCCUUAUAUCAAGGAUGGUGACCCCGCAUUCCAAUUUAUCAAUACUUGUGUCCUAGACUCAUUACUAGCUGCUCUUCAUAUAGC